GCUGGGGAGGAGCUCCUGCCAGUGGAUGGGGACCAAUAGAUGUUGGGUGAGGUGUAGAAGGGAGAAGAGGCCUGCCACAAUGUGGUAAGGGAUGCGAAUCACUUGGAGAUACACCUCAGUUCCUGUGGGCAGAGGUCAGGGUGGCUCAAGACAAAAUCGAAGAGGUGGGGCUUCAGUGAAGUCCAGGAAGGGCAGGACAGUGUGUGUCAUUAGAAGAAGAGGGUGACAGAGUAGACAACGAGAACUCCUAGGCUUUGCUGAAAAUUGGCAGAGUCACUUUAUGUUGAUUUAGUCAACCUCCUGGGCAACCAGAUGAAGCAGAAUUGCUUUGUCCUGCAUCUCACAGACAAGGCUAGAAGGCUAAAAGAGGUGGAAGCAUUCACUCACAGUAACAUAGUAAAACUGUGGAGGUCUUGGAGUGGGCAUGGUGGUGUGGCUUACCCCUGUAUCCAAGAGCCAAAAGCCAGAGAAUCAUAGGCUCAAGACAAGCCUGGGCUACAGCAAGAACUAUGAAUCGACACUCAAAUCCAUCUCCCUACAAAGCAGCUGUCACCCAGACCACUUCAGAGAGGUGGAGCCCAGGGCUAUGAAUUCUAGCAACUGCUCUGAAGCUGUGUGAAGUACAAGUCCAGGAAAGAAGACCCAGGAAGUCAGGGAUGCAGGUCUGUGGCCCCAUACCUUUCCCUUUUAUCAGAUGCACUGACCAAGAGGCCAGCAUAGCAGGGUCAGGACCAACACACUGAACUUCUGAAUUAGCGGAGAUUAAGAGGCUCAGAAAGGACUGGUUUUCUAGUAAAAGAGAGUUCAAGAUCCUAACUAGAAGAGAAAAGAAAGGACGAUCGCUCAUUCCUCCCAUUUUCAGGUUGUGAACUGACACCCUCUGGCCUUAUUUGCUUUGAUGGUGUGUUUUCCCAGCACUUGGCUUUGAUGUCAUUAGAAAGACGAAUGGAAUGCAGCCACUUACCUUGUAUUCAUGAUAAAACGACAAACCUGUAGAAUGUACGAGGUCCAUUUGCCCAAAGCUUCGUGCUCCCAGUUAUGGGCUGUAGACCUGUGAAUGGACAGAAUUAAGGGGAGAGUUUAUAUUGAUGGCCAUUGAAACAGCCCGAGCACACUCUACACAGGUCAUAAUGGCGGCCACCUAGGAAAUGCCCUUGCUUUGAAUCAUCUCCUUCACCAUCCCACCAAAAGAGAAUUCUUCCUCUCCUAUGACUCACCAUGUCUCUUUUGUGCUGCUCAAAAUCCUUCAGGACCAGCGUUAGGAGAAAUCAAUAUCAAUCAAUCUUUUUUUCUUUCUUCUUCAGUGAUGCUCUCACGUAGCACAGGCUGCUCUUGAGCUCCCAACUCCCUAUGUAGCUGAAGGUGACCUUGAACUCCUGAUUCCCGUGCUUCCAUUCUUUGUGUGCCUCUGUACUUCAAAAACACCAGAACUAUUUCUGAAGUGGGGCGGGGGGGGGCAGGGAAUUCGUGAAUCCUCACAAAAUCAUGUGAAGUAUACUGACAUGUUUCUCCUAAGUCUAUUCCAUUCACAGUCCCAGAUCCCUAAAGUCUCAGCCAGCUACACCUGCUCUCCCGCCAUGAGCAAAUCAAGAUAGAAGGCUGUGGGUGAAUGAAUGCAGACAUUUUGGCUUCUUCAAAGAAACCUCCAGCCUAGGCUGGGACUUUGAAGCCCCUAGAAGGAGCUGUGAAGAGCGAGUUCUGAGCACUGAGCUAAGUGUUCUUCACUUUUGCCAGUGGGACAAAAAUGCCUGAUAUGAGGCUUAAACAGUUUACUUCAGCUCAUGUUUUCAGAGGUGCAAUCCAUGAUCACACGGCCACAUGGCCCAUAGCACCUGUCCAGGUAGAACAUCAUGGCAGGACGUUCACAGUGAAGCAGAGCCACUCAGCCCUCAGAGGAUAGAUACAGAGAGAGAAUGUCCCCUUCAAAGACAUACCUCAGUGACUACUUCCUCCAACCACACCCCACCUCUGAGCGUCUACCACCUCUCAAUAAUGCCACCGUUAAAUCAUGAAUCUGUCAAUGGAAUCCGUUGAUGUUAGCGUCCUCGUGAUCCUAAAGCUCCACCGGCUGGAGUUCUCAGUGUGGAAGCCCUUUGACGGAAUGCUUCCUUCCCAAGUCACAACCAUAGCAAGGGGUAAUUCAUGUAAAUCUGCCCCAGUUCUUGGUAAACAACCGGGUGGAAGAGACAGGUGGUGUGGAGGAUGGGCAGGUCACGACUGUGAAAUGGAACAAAAUGACUGUGGCAGGCUGGAAAUCGCAGAGCCUAAGGGAAAGGUAAGAGGCUGUCUGUGGAAAGGAGGCUGUGAGUCUGAAUGUGGAACGACGUCCUGUGAGAGCCAGGUGGGGAGAAGAGAACACCUUCACACAAAGACGCUGUGAGCUAAGUAGCACUUAGGAGCCUUGAAACAAAAACUGUGCUGGGAAAACCAUCUGACUGUGGAGAUGUCCAGCCUUAUCAAGUGAAAGAAGUGACUAGUUCUCCAACCGGGGUGGGGGUGAAGAACGGGGCUGGGGCGCUCAACAGUGUGGGGGAAGGAGUUCCCACUGUCACAUCCCAGCCCUGACCCACAUCGCGGAAGGCCAGGGUGUUCCCUGAAACAGACAUCAGGACUCAUGGAAGGCACUGCCCCAUGUUACCCCGAUGGAUGCCAAGGCCACAGUGCCAGGCACUACUCUCAGUAUGUCAUCUGUACUGUCUCAUUCACCAUGGCCCAAGAAGGGUUUUAUUGUUCUUACGUCCACUUUGCAUGUGAGGAAAUAAAGGUCAGAGAGGAGAGUUAACCAGGUCCAGGUGGUCCCGCCCACAAAUGGUAGAGCCAGGAUCCAAACUCAGAGGGCCCAGUGCUGACCUCCUCUUAACAAGCAGUUGAAUCAAUACUUAUUGGUGUGAUGGUUAACCAAUGAUCCUUCUUUCUCUCUCUAUUGAUCCGAAAGCUCUUCAUUAGGGUGUGACCUCCAUGUUGACCCCUUGCUGACAACCCUAGAUGAAGCAGGCACUCAUUCAAGAGGAAACCUAGGGCCUGUUCUAUCCAGCAUCUCAGGUUGUCACUUGGAGGGUAGAAGGCAGUCUUUCCGUUUUCAUCUUUGCACCUCCAGGGGGGAAGCAUCCAAUUGUAGCAGCACCCUGAGCAACAAACACAAUGCUGAAAGAUCUUGGGAGACACUGCACCUUGGACACACGCAGACCUUGCCCAAACAGCACGCCCUGCUUUGCAUCCUGCCGUUAAACUGUCACAGUAAGAGAUAAAUAAAAGUCCCAGUGUGCUGUUUGGCAAUUAGCAAUUAUCUCUCGGGCUCUUUGGUAGCCACACACGGCUCUAUAAUUGUGAGAUUAAAAAGCUAUAAUUCACAUGGUUGGCUAUAAGUGUGUGGCUAUCUUGCUAUGACAAAGCAAUUACCCAAGAGUCAUUAGCCUCAUAAAGUAAUCUGCAAUUGUAUGUAAAUAAUGAUUAUGUGGCUGACAAAUGCUAUAUUAUUGACCCUUAAAACAAAUAUCAAGAUUUAUCUUUUCAUAUGACCGUAAAACAUACACAGGGCCUACGUUACACAUCUUAGGCCUCUUGGGUGGGGUUUGCUAUAAGUUAAUAGGGCAUGGUGAAGAUUUGCAUGGAACUCUGGAAUCUGCAAACUGUACCGAAGUGUUUUUCCUAACGGCCCUAUACAGUUAUGGUCUGAAGAAACAAAUCCUCCAUGUUUUACAAGGGAGGCGUUUGAGGCUCAGAAAGGUUAAGUGACUCUUAUAAACACAUGUGACAUUCCUUCCUCAUUAGUCCUUAAAUACGGGACAGAUGCAGGCCUAUCUCCACCCACACCUACCAAAGGCUCCCAGCCUGGUGCCCUGGACUUAGCAGCCUUUACAGCAGUGAUUCUCAACCUUCCUAAUGCUGCGGCCCUUCACUGCAGUUUCUCAUGUUGUGAUUCCCCGACCAUAAAAAUAUAUUGUUGCUACUUCAUAACUGCAAUUUUGCUACUACAAUGAAUUGUAAUGUAAAUAUCUGAUAUGCAGGACAUCUAACAUGUGACCCGUGUGAAAGCAUUGUUUGACACCUCCCCCCACCCUAGGAGUCAUGACACACAGGUUGAGAAUCCCUGCUCUAAUGACUGCUGAACUCUAGCCAUGCCAAUGACAUAGCUAAACCACUCUCCAAUGAUGAUCUCAUCUCCCAAAACUGAAAGCUACUGGAUACCUCAACUGUGCCUUAUUGUCUUCACAGCAAAGUUGGCCAAAGGUCAUAAUUCUUUCCUUGUGUCUAGACAGAGCCAAGUGGUCAUUUGAAAAUGCGAGGUUAAGACUGCUCAGAUGGGGGCUGGAGAUUUAGCUCAGUGGUAGAGCGCUUGCCUAGGAAACGCAAGGCCCCAGCUCCGAAAAAAAAAGAACCAAAAAAAAAAAAAAAAAAAAAGACUGCUCAGAUGUCGUGCUUCACUGUCUACCAUGAGAAUGAGAGUGCUUGCCUCAGUUUGACUAAGAAAUACUAUCACAAAUACAGGAGCUCCCCAUAGGGUUUGUUGGCCUGUGGAAGCAGAUUUCCUGAGUCUCUCACGACUAUGUUUGCAGAGUCUUUAGAGAGAAACAAGGUGGAUUCUUCCUGCUAUGAAUGGUUCUAGAACUGAGAGGAGCCUGGCUUUACUUGAUUUCUUCCCCCCUUUAACAAAAAAAAAAAAAAAAAAAGGCAUGCACGAGUUGCUAUGAGUAAACCGUGGCCUUGGGCCCCUGAUUAUGAGUGAGCUGAGCCUUUGCAAGGGGUGUGUGUGUAUGUGUGUGUGUGUGUGUGUGUGUGUGAUAUCUGUGACCCUGGGGUCCUAGGUCUGAGAAAGCUAUGACCUUGGGCCUCUUAUCUGUAAGCAGGCUGUAGACCUGGCCCUUCAGCAUUGGCCAGAAAGCUGCACUCCUUUCCUAAAGGCCAGGCAUAGAGCCCACUUAAGAAGAGCUGAGGUCUCAAAAAGAGGUAAUACUAGCAUUUUGUCUAAGUUCCACCCCACAGUUACCUGGCAACAGUCAGGUAUGCCUGACACUAUAAAGGGGUCUGUUUGCCCCCUCCCCUCCUCUUGUUCUCUUACUCUCUUACCCUCUUCCCCCUUUGUCCCUUCUCUCCUCAUUCCCCUCCUCCCCCUCUUUCCACAUGCUCAUGGCUGGCCUCUAUUCCUCUCUCUGUUUCUCUGUCUCUGUCUCUCUGUCUGUCUGUCUCUCUCUCUCUCUCUCUCUCUCUCUCUCUCUCUCUCACACACACACACACACACACACACAGAGAGAGAGAGAGAGAGAGAGAGAGAGAGAGAGUUCUAAACCAGUCUGUAGGUAAAUGGGUUGCUCUAAGGAAGCCAUGUUCCAAGUGGACCAACCUCUGAGUGGCAUCUUGGCCACAUGAAUUUGGUCUGUAACCACAAAAUCACCUCUACUUAGCAACUUCUCCAUGAGCAUUCAUUCACACAUACUGGGGGGAGGACAAUGACUAAAUUUCCUUUCCUUGAUGCAAAGCAAAGAAAGUCUUCUAGCUUCCUUCCAGGGUCUUCCCUGAAAGACCACCCCAGGCUCCUUAUUCACCCUUUCUAUGUUUCCCAAGUUUGUCCCAAGACCCCAAGAACCAAAAGCCUUCUGGGUGAUAGAAGGAUUCUGGUAGGGCAUGGGGUGCUAUUCUAAUAUAGCAGCCAUUACUAGAAUGUCUCUAUGUCGGUCAACUGCGUCCCUUGUAGAUUUUUACCAAUCCAGUCAUCUGAAUUGAUCAUGAAAGGAAGGUACUGAUGAAGAUUUUAGAGUCUUCCAUUCCCCAAGAUAAUAAGGGGAGAGAGAGAGAGAGAGAGAGAGAGAGAGAGAGAGAGAGAAUGAAUAUGAGAUUGACACCAGGACUGACUAGAGC